rnacentral:rRNA from 1 species
AGUGAACGCUGGCGGUAGGCCUAACACAUGCAAGUCGAACGGCAGCACAGUAAGAGCUUGCUCUUACGGGUGGCGAGUGGCGGACGGGUGAGGAAUACAUCGGAAUCUACUUUUUCGUGGGGGAUAACGUAGGGAAACUUACGCUAAUACCGCAUACGACCUACGGGUGAAAGCAGGGGAUCUUCGGACCUUGCGCGAUUGAAUGAGCCGAUGUCGGAUUAGCUAGUUGGCGGGGUAAAGGCCCACCAAGGCGACGAUCCGUAGCUGGUCUGAGAGGAUGAUCAGCCACACUGGAACUGAGACACGGUCCAGACUCCUACGGGAGGGAGCAGUGGGGAAUAUUAGACAAUAGGCGCAAGCCUGAUCCAGCCAUACCGCGUGGGUGAAGAAGGCCUUCGGGUUGUAAAGCCCUUUUGUGGGGAAAGAAAAGCAGCAGGUUAAUACCCCGCUGUUCUGACGGUACCCAAAGAAUAAGCACCGGCUAACUUCGUG